UGGUGAGAAGGGUAAUCAAGCCAGUUUAGGGUUUUGAGAACAUUUUCAGAGGAAAUUUUGGUCUCCAUGAGGAAAAGUAAGUCAGGGAAAAUCUUCUUUCGGAUUUCCCUCAAUCUCUGGACUGUCAUGGGAUUCCCCAACCCACAGCAGUUCCAGCUCACUAUCCUUAAGGAAGAGGGGUUUGCGGAUUCUGAAAAUCCGCUACAUGUUUCUUAACUGCAGGAACCAGAGAGAUCUUGGGGGCAGUAGGUUUUGCAGUUUUUGAGGACCCAGAUUUUGAAGUAUUAUUAGGCUCCUGGGAUUUGGAAAAAGCCAGAGGGGUUUUAGCUUUACUGGAACCCACCUGAGAAGAACCCUGUCUUGGAGGCUGCUUUUGACCAGUAUUUUUCUUUG
rnacentral:lncRNA from 1 species